AUACGGAGGGGGCUAGCGUUGUUCGGAAUUACUGGGCGUAAAGGGCGUGUAGGCGGAUCGAUCAGUCAGGCGUGAAAGCCCCGGGCUCAACCCGGGAACUGCGUUUGAAACUGUCGAUCUUGAGUCCGGGAGAGGGUAGUGGAAUUCCCAGUGUAGAGGUGAAAUUCGUAGAUAUUGGGAAGAACACCAGUGGCGAAGGCGGCUACCUGGACCGGUACUGACGCUGAGGCGCGAAAGCGUGGGGAGCAAACAGGAUUAGAUACCCCGGUAGUCC
rnacentral:rRNA from 1 species